rnacentral:rRNA from 1 species
UACGGAGGGUGCAAGCGUUAUCCGGAUUCACUGGGUUUAAAGGGUUCGUAGGCGGGUAAUUAAGUCCGUUGUGAAAUCUCUGAGCUUAACUCAGAAACUGCCGUGGAUACUAUUUGCCUUGAAUAUUGUGGAGGUGAGCGGAAUAUGUCAUGUAGCGGUGAAAUGCUUAGAUAUGACAUAGAACACCAACUGCGAAGGCAGCUCACUACACAAUGAUUGACGCUGAGGCACGAAAGCGUGGGGAUCAAACAGG